rnacentral:rRNA from 1 species
GAGUUUGAUCUUGGCUCAGGAUGAACGCUAGCGGCAGGCCUAAUACAUGCAAGACGAGCGGUAAGAGUUUCAGCAAUGGGAUUCCAAGAGCGUCGUAAGGGUGCGUAACACGUAUGCAAUCUGCCCGGAACUGGGGUAUAGCGUCGGGGAAACCCGGACUUAACCCCCAUAAGAUGGUGGUGUGGCAUCACACAGCCAAUUAAAACUGAGGUGGUUCUGGAUGAGCAUGCGGAUGAUUAGCUAGUUGGUGGUGUAACGGACCACCAAGGCGAUGAUCAAGUAGGGGAACUGAGAGGUUGACUCCCCCACACUGGCACUGAGAUACGGGCCAGACUCCUACGGGAGCAGCAGUAGGGAAUAUUGGACAAUGGGUGCAAGCCUGAUCCAGCCAUGCCGCGUGC